AUGGGGCAGAGGGUCACUCACUACUACAUCUUUGUUAUAAUGAUAACCAAAGGUGUCAGCAGUGAUGAGAUCAGACUGGACCAGUUUCCUGCUGUGGUAAAGAGACCUGGAGAAACUGUGAAGAUCUCUUGUAAGAUACACAGCUUUGAUAUGACUGAGUACUACAUGCAACCAGGGAAAGCUCUGGAAUGGCUUGGCCAGAUGGAUGCUGGCAAAAAUCAACCAAUAUAUACAGAGACUGUGAAGAACCAGCUCACCUUUACAAAAGACGUCUCAGCAAGUCUUGACCUCACAGUACUUAGAGGUCAAGACUCUGAGGACAGAGGACACUGCAGUUUAUUACUGCGCUCGAGAAGCCACAGUGACUGGAUCUAA